rnacentral:misc_RNA from 1 species
GCACGCGGUGGGUGCAGGUCUUCGACCAUUCCACGGAAGGUCAAUUGCUGUUUUUCAGAGAGAGAUUCAUAAAGUCGGAGCAUCCGCAAACCGCGGAGAUGCACGCCUUCAGCACGAAGGUGCGGAGACUUGGCGUGAAUGAACAAAUGGGAUUCGGGCCAACGAAGGCGGAAUGGAUGGCGCUGCUCGACCAGCAUGGAUUGAACGAAAACCUCAACAAACGCUGAAGAAGGAAUCCAAGUAUUUCACCCACCGCGGAAACGCAUGGGCAGCACUCCCUCCCGCUUUAGGGCCCGCACUACUUCUGGAAAGGCAGCUUCCAAUUUGCCUGUGGGGAAUCGAAUUUGCGUUAUUCCGUGGAUGUUCGAGAACUCGUUGCAUUCGGCUUCCAAUACCACCACCGUGCGUUCGAAGCCCAGUCUCCCCUGACACAAGCCGAUUUCGUGUACUACGUUCUCCCUGGCCCGAGCGAGACCGUCUUUUUGUUGAUCUUCCGCAGUUGCUACCAGGAUUGCGAUGGCCGCGUUGUCAAGAAUCUGCUCCAACCGCUCCUUCGUCGCAAUCCCUACCGCAGAAACGCGAUUAAACUCCUCCCACGGAAGCUUGAGUUUGCUUCCGACAAAUCGGGCCAGCUUGCGCCACGUUUCCGACCUUCCAUGUCCAAUGAAAACGGAAGUCCCUCUGGACGCCAUACUGCGAAAGAUCAGUUUCUCAGCGCGUGCGCUCACCGUCCCCUUGCACAGCCAGUUGGCAUCGUGUUCGAUAGCCUCGCUGAGCCAAUCCUGAGUUUGGUCGCGCAAUAAGAAGUGCCCUUUGGAACCGUACAUGAUCACUGGCAAUUCCUGGGCCGUGAACUCCUUGCGGAUCUGCGUGAGAGCUCGAGUUCCCCAUUUUUGAAAUGCCCUGAGAUACUCCGCAUUCAUUCUGUCUAUCGCCGGCUCGACCUCUUCGCGAAGGAUCCGAUUUGUCUCCUUGCGGACACCGUCAACUUUCGUUUUGGAGUCAAACUUCGGCCAAUACACAUCGAGAAGCAGGACAUCCGGCCACUUAUCUGUCGUUCGCCGCCUUUUGAGAUCCUCACACAGGUCAUCAAUAUUGCCGCUGUAGU